UUAAAGGGGGGAGGGUGUAACCCAGGGUGAAAACUGCCCUUAGUCCCGCCUUACUGCCCCAUUGGUUAGAGUGACAGUCAGUCACACAGUGCAUGCAGCCAAUUGACACACCUGAGGCAAUUAUUUAGGCUUGCUCCAGCUUUCCCCAGUCAGAUGUGAGGGGGAGAGCUGGAGACAAAGGAGCUACAGAUCCGAGAAAUCCAGUGAGUUUGGAGCCUUGGAGCUGCCAUACUCUCAUCUAUUAUUGGAAUUGGCCAGGUGAUCCCUUUUUAGGGAAAAAGAUGGCGAGCUUCUGAAAACUGGCUGGAGCCAGGAGAGCCUUAAGAAUCACUCCACACUGGACUGGUCUGUAUCAUUUCCCCCCUCCAUCUCACCACUCAGGUAUACACUCCAUUAUUCACCUCUUCAUCCCAAACAACUUGCGCUGGGACAUUUUUCAACUUAAAUAUCUGGAUAAUCCAACCAUGGAUUUCUGAAUGUGUGUCGGGUCAGACUCUGGACUGAUCAGUGGGGAAUUUAAGACCAGUUGUGCACAAACAAAAGAAGGAUUGCCACAGUACUGUGUAUUUUUUGUAUUUAUUUUGGGUUCUAUGUAUGUUGUCUUGUAUUGUUUACUUUAAAUUUGUCUAAUACAUGGUAUUGAAAGCAGUUAUUUUGUGUCGUUUUAUUGAUUACUGACAACGGCUCCAGUAGACGAAUUCUAGUCUUCUGAUUUUUCU